rnacentral:rRNA from 1 species
GAUCAUGGCUCAGAAUGAACGCUGGCGGCAUGGAUUAGGCAUGCAAGUCGAACGUGCUCCCUUCGGGGAGAAAGUGGCGAAAGGGUGAGUAACACGUGAGCAACCUGCCUCCGGAUCCGGAAUAAUCCAGGGAAACUUGGUCUAAAACCGGAUGAAGACAUUGGUCCGCAUGGUCUAAUGUUAAAAUAUUUAUAGUCCGGAGAGGGGCUCGCGGCCCAUUAGCUUGUUGGCGGGGUAAUGGCCCACCAAGGCUACGACGGGUAGGUGGUCUGAGAGGAUGGUCACCCACACUGGGACUGAGACACUGCCCAGACUCCUACGGGAGGCUGCAGUCGAGAAUCUUCCGCAAUGGGCGCAAAGCCUGACGGAGCGAUGCCGCGUGAGGGAUGAAGGCCUUCGGGUUGUAAACCUCUGUCAUCCGGGACGAAAACAAUGACGGUACCGGAAAAGGAAGCCACGGCUAACCACGUGCCAGCCGCAGC